GCUGUUUUUUUAAUGCCCAACAUGCUCUCCUCUUUCUGCCAGGUCAGCCUCCACAUCUGAAAAAAAAAAUUUACUUUCUGUGCGUUCAAACCCUCCUCCGUUCACUUUCUGUUCUCAUCUCCUUUAUUUUCCCCCUCCCUUUGUACAUAUCUAACUAGUAUGAAUCCUAAUGGAAAACCACAGUCCUCGUCUUCAUUUCUCCCCUUCAUCUCUACAGUACAAAACCUAAUUAAAAACCACAACUAUGAGGCUGAUGGAAGAAAACCAGAUUAGCAUCAGCGGUUUCCGAUUCCUUGGCUUUCAGGUUCAAUAUGGGUGGAUCAAAACAAUCAUGAUACGGAGGAGGGAACUCUGUUGGUUGGCAUGGGUAGGUAGAAGGUAUUGCAGUAUGAAAGAGGCUUUGUUAAACACAGUUGGGGUUCUACAUAAUAUUGACUGGAAUCUUCCUCCUUUAUGCUCACAUCACAAAGUACAGAACAAUCUCUGGAGUUGCUGGGCCAUUGGUUAUCCUCAAUAAAGUCAAGAUAUUCCUUGCUUCACCCAUUAUCUAGUAUUUUUAUUUAUUCCCUUUUCACUCAUAUGAUUUUCAUCUGUUCAGAAUCUAGCGAUCAAUAAUUUACUUUCUCAGUGCACCAGGGACCCAAGUAUCAAGAGAUUGUCAAUAUUCGUCUGGGAGAUGGAACAACUCGACGUGGUCAAGUCCUAGAAGUUUAUGGUGACAAAGCAGUUGUGUAGGUGAUUACUGUUUGGCAUUCUCCAUUAUGUGCUCAUGUUUAUGAAGUUCAUGAUUAUACAUUCUUUAAUGGUUUCAUAUUUUUAAACACCUAUCACAUUUAGUAAAUAAUAGUGGAUACAUAUGCAUUUUAUUUGAAAGUUUAAAUGCUGAAAGCUUUUUGUGAUAUGACUUCCAUUACUUAUGGACAAAGUAUCCUAAGAAAUUAUCUGUUGGGCAUGGUUUGGUAGAUUGAGAUCAACUUCUUUCUUUCUAUGGAUGUUUCGUUCUGUCCCUUUCUUCCCCCUUUAUGCAGGUUUUGAAAACUCCUGUCUCCUUAAACCUGAGUUAUGCUCUAGGGAUUCAUGGAGCUGAGUUGAUAAAGCUAAUCCGCCACUGCAGGAAAUUUCAAUGACUCUGGAUACUGGAUUGCACUGGAGACGAAGGACUAGGAGUUGUAGCUUCUACUUCUGUGGACUUUGUAGAUGUAGUCUGGGUCUUCCAAAUAUUUAUUGUUAUCUAGUAGUUGUACUUUGUUUAGGUGAAUUGAUUACUGGAUUUUUAGUUAAUGCAGAUUUAGGAGUAUGUUGUUUAAUUUACCAGAGAUCUCUUGUUUGUAAUUCUUGUUAUCAUAUUUAGAUCUUUGUUAAGAUUUGCCAA